UACGUAGGGGGCAAGCGUUGCUCGGAAUCACUGGGCGUAAAGCGCACGUAGGCGGAUUGUUAAGUCAGGGGUGAAAUCCUGGAGCUCAACUCCAGAACUGCCUUUGAUACUGGCGAUCUCGAGUCCGGGAGAGGUGAGUGGAACUGCGAGUGUAGAGGUGAAAUUCGUAGAUAUUCGCAAGAACACCAAGUGGCGAAGGCGGCUCACUGGCCCGGUACUGACGCUGAGGUGCGAAAGCGUGGGGAGCAAAGCAGG
rnacentral:rRNA from 1 species